UCAAAAGCGACGACGGAGAAAAGUAGGCUAUUUAUUACCUUUCAGGGAGGAAGAGUCUCGACUGGAAACUCUUCUAUGUGUGGUGAUAGGCGAAGUUCACUCCCGAGCUGCCGGCUGAACGUUAUCUAGUAGGCUAGGACGGUUCUUCCCCGUUAAUAAGAAGGGGGUAUCGGAUUUUAAUUCCCGUACCUUUGUCGAGUGGCCUUUUUUGGCUUAAGUUGGGUGGUAACACGAGAUAUAACUUCUCGUCCCUACA
rnacentral:ncRNA from 1 species